UGGACGCAGGCCUCCCUCUGCACAUUGCCAUUUGCUUCAUCAAAACUGGUAAGAGAGACAUUCUAUAAGCAACAUGAAGGCCGCCAUGUCUUGUACCUUGAUGCUGCACAGUAAAGAAUCUGUCUGGUCCUGACUCCUGUUCCUGGGAUAUAGCCUCUAAAUCCUGAGAAUUCCCUGAGCUGUCGGGUAGGAAUGUCUUGUUACUCAUGGCAGCCCCUCUACCAUGUCACAUUUCUGUUGAUGAGAUGACCCAGGGUGCACAGUUUAGAAGACCAACCACAUGAUGAGGGGUUGGGACUUUAGCUUGACCUCCUGUGGGGAAAACUUUGGAGAUGGAGCCUGGCCCACCAGUAGCUGAUGGUAAAGCAACCAUGCAGACGAGGAAAACUCCAGUAAGAACUCUGGAUGCUAAGCUCAGGUGAGUCCAUCUAUGUGUCCUGAUUCCACAGGGAGAAGAAGAGGGAAGUCUGUAUUAGUGAUCCUCUCCAGCUUUGCCCUGUCCUAAUUUGUAUGCAUCACAAUAAAGCAGUAACUGGUCGACAUGAUGAGUAGCUUUCUAAGACGCUGUGCUGGUGGGUUUAUGAAGUCACCACACCAUUCCCUUAAGGCUGGGGCACAGGGCUGGGUGUGGAUGUGGCUGCAUGGCACCCAGUUGGGCGUCUGCAGGUCCCGCGUGGAGGUUGGUGUCUAUGGUGCCAGAUGAGCAGUAAACCUCCUGCCUUGGUGGUUCCUCACUGACGUCACACACUGAUGGCUUGUUCAUCAUGUGAGCCGAGGAUCUCUUCCUGAGCGUGGAGAGCCCAGAUGGAAGGCAUCCCCUGGAUUUAGGGACUAUUCCUGACCGUGUGGAGAUGAACAUUCCAGGCCUGCUCUGAGGUGCCCUUGCUUCUGCGCUGCAGGAGCCUGUGAGCUGGUUCUUCUGACUGGUCCCAUGUGGGCUCUGAUGUGCUCACGUCUGCCCGGCAUCCUCACCGUCCACACCCGGGUAUCUGCCUUCUCGUACCCAGUUCUGUCCGACCUCUGGAGAUCCGAGUCUGCCCUGGAGUUGUUCUCUAGUGAUUGGUGCCCCCAAACCAGCUGCUGCUACCUGAAUAUCGCAGGUUGGGCUGCACU
rnacentral:lncRNA from 1 species